AUCGACGAAGGGACAACCCGAAUGAGGAGGAGAAAGUCUAUGAAUGUCCAAAACCACCGCAGCAGCAGCGGCCCAUCAACUCUGACGAGGCAGCGCGACUCUUCGGUGGGGCUGUCAUCACUGACUAUGGUACUACUACUCCGAAUAAACCCACUGUCUAAGGGCGUUAUUAGGUUUUCCAUAUAUACAGAAGCAUGCAGAGUGAUUAUCAGAUGAAUCUCCCAGGUCCCGAGUCCUUUACUCAUAUCUCAUCAGUACAAUAAUUGAUGCCCCGAGUCCUUAUGUAUACGUAGUAGCUCUUUCUCCACGGCAGCUUGAUGUCAUAAUUUAUAAGCUGUUUACAAAGGAAAGAAGAUAUUUAUCUAGCCAGUACUCUUAAUUAAGUUCUGUUGCGCAAUAUAUAUGUAUUUCUACAACUUUCAGUGUAAAUUUUAAUGAAUUAGGUAUCUUGGUUGGUUUAUCAU